AUUGAACGCUGGCGGCAGGCCUAACACAUGCAAGUCGAACGAGUGGCGGACGGGUGAGUAAUGUCUGGGAAACUGCCCGAUGGAGGGGGAUAACUACUGGAAACGGUAGCUAAUACCGCAUACCAUCGGAUGUGCCAAGAUGGGAGGAGCUAGUAGGUGGGGGAACGGCUCACCUAGGCGACGAUCCCUAGCUGGUCUGAGAGGAUGACCAGCCACAUGGGACCUGAGAUACGGUCCAGACGCCUACGGUGGGCAGCAGUGGGGAAUAGUGCACAAUGGGCGCAAGCCUGAUGCAGCCAUGCCGCGUGUAUGAAGAAGGCCUUCGGGUUGUAAAGUACUUUCAGCGAGGAGGCGUUACUCGCAGAAGAAGCACCGGCUAACUACGUGCCAGCAGCCGCGGUAAUUC
rnacentral:rRNA from 1 species